rnacentral:rRNA from 1 species
GAUGAACGCUGGCGGCGUGCCUAAUACAUGCAAGUCGAGCGAAUGGAUUAAGAGCUUGCUCUUAUGAAGUUAGCGGCGGACGGGUGAGUAACACGUGGGUAACCUGCCCAUAAGACUGGGAUAACUCCGGGAAACAGGGGCUAAUACCGGAUAACAUUUUGAACCGCAUGGUUCGAAAUUGAAAGGCGGCGUCGGCUGUCACUUAUGGAUGGAUCCGCGUCGCAUUAGCUAGUUGGUGAGGUAACGGCUCACCAAGGCAACGAUGCGUAGCCGACCUGAGAGGGUGAUCGGCCACACUGGGACUGAGACACGGCCCAGACUCCUACGGGAGGCAGCAGUAGGGAAUCUUCCGCAAUGGACGAAAGUCUGACGGAGCAACGCCGCGUGAGUGAUGAAGGCUUUCGGGUCGUAAAACUCUGUUGUUAGGGAAGAACAAGUGCUAGUUGAAUAAGCUGGCACCUUGACGGUACCUAACCAGAAAGCCACGGCUAACUACGUGCCAGCCGCCGCAGUAA